rnacentral:misc_RNA from 1 species
AACGCACGAGACCUGCGGACCUGCGGAGGGAUCAUUAAUGAGAAGCUGCCCCUCGUGGGUAGACCUCCCACCCUCUGUGAACUUACCUUUGUUGCUUUGGCAGGCCCGUCCUCUGGACCGCCGGCUUCGGCUGGCCCGUGCCUGCCAGAGGAUUCCAAACCCUGUCUGUCAGUGUUGUCUGGGUCUAUAUGAAAUCGUUAAAACUUUCAACAACGGAUCUCUAGAUCGGAAGAGCACACG